rnacentral:rRNA from 1 species
GAUGAACGCUAGCGGCAGGCUUAACACAUGCAAGUCGAGGGGUAUAGUUCUUCGGAACUAGAGACCGGCGCACGGGUGCGUAACGCGUAUGCAAUCUACCUUUUGCAGAGGGAUAGCCCAGAGAAAUUUGGAUUAAUACCUCAUGGUAUGUGAGAAUGGCAUCAUUUUCACAUUAAAGUCACAACGGCAAAAGAUGAGCAUGCGUCCCAUUAGCUUGUUGGUAAGGUAACGGCUUACCAAGGCAACGAUGGGUAGGGGUCCUGAGAGGGAGAUCCCCCACACCGGUAUUGAGACACGGACCAGACUCCUACGGGAGGCAGCAGUGAGGAAUAUUGGACAAUGGGCGUAAGCCUGAUCCAGCCAUGCCGCGUGCAGGAUGACGGUCCUAUGGAUUGUAAACUGCUUUUGUACAGGAAGAAACACUGGUUCGUGAACCAGCUUGACGGUACUGUAAGAAUAAGGAUCGGCUAACUCCGUGCCAGCCGCCGCCGUAAGAC